GACAGAGGUGCCGAGCGUUAGGCGGAAUCACUGGGCUUAAAGCGUGUGUAGGCGGGCCGUUAAGUAUCUUGUGAAAUCCCCCGGCUCAACCGGGGAAUGGCUGGAUAUACUGGCGGUCUUGAGCGAUCUAGGGGCAGAUGGAACAAGUGGUGGAGCGGUGAAAUGCGUAGAUAUCACUUGGAACGCCAAAGGUGAAAACAGUCUGCUGGGGAUCUGCUGACGCUGAGACACGAAAGCCAGGGGAGCGAACGGGG
rnacentral:rRNA from 1 species